rnacentral:sRNA from 1 species
UUAGUACGAAAUGAUAAUAUCUUAUAAUA